GCUGCUGCGAUGGCUGUGGCUUAAUUAUCGUGGUUUAUGCUUCUGACUGGAAGUUGACUUCUAGGUCCAAAGCCUAGAACGACAGUACUAGUAGUUUAAGACUACAGAAAUGAUGUUAGACAAAAAGCAAAUUUGAGCUAUUUUCUUAUUUGAGUUCAAAAUGGGUCGUAAAGCAAUGAAGACAACUUGCAGCAUCAACAACGCGCUUGGCCCGGGAGCUGUUGAUGGAUGUACAGUGCAGUGGUGGUUCCCAAACCUUUGCAAAGGAGACGAGAGCCUUGAAGAUGAGGAGCGUAGUGGCCGGCCAUCCGAAGUCGACAGGACCACGGAGAGCCAUCAUCAGAGCUGAUCUUACAAGUACAGAAGAAGUGGCAGAAUAAUUCCGUGCUGACCAUUCUACUGUCAUUUGACCAUUGAAGAAAAUUGGAAAGGUGACAAAAUUCGCUAAAUCUGGAGGCUGGGUGCUGGCGGGUCUAUUUUCUGUUGAAGACUGUCCUCUGCUUUCGGGAUGGCGCCUUGCUGCUGUGUCCGCUGUAGCUGCAGCUGGAUGAUGAGACAGAAGGAAGGGAGUCACCUCGGCAAGCCCUUUUCUAAGGUGGUUCCCUGGAAGACUCACUUGCAAGACUGUCUUUGUUUCACCAGAGAUGAGCUCAACCAGUUCAAAAAGUCUUUUCCCCAGGAUGAACUUAACUUCAGUUCCUGCAGACAGCUGUGGAUUUCUGCCUCCUCCGAGUAUACCUCUUCAUCUGGAUCUGAUGUCUGCACCACCACUCAGCAGCAGAGGGUACGAUACUGGCCAACAUGUCCUAGAGUGACAUCUCUGCCAUGUGACUGUGUACUGGGAUUCAGUACAGUAGAGUUCUGUAUUCUGGAAAGAAAUCCCAGAAGUCAAGUGCCCUGUUAUCUCAUCAAGAGUCCAUACUACGAACAUGAACUGUCACUGCUGAUGUGGGCCGGAAUCACCUACCUGAAGUGUUUAUGUUUCUUCAUUGUACAAUUGCUACUUGUAAUCCUUUUUUAUACUGUGCUACUUGGAAGGAAAUCACUAUGUGCAGCCAACACUUAAGAAAUGAGAAGGAUCAGCUGGGCAUAAGUCCUUCUAGCUUCUUCGUUUUUCUUAUUCAUAAUCUCCCAUCCUGACAAAAUCCACUAUCUACAUAGUUCAAAUUUCAGCAUCAUGUAUAGUACAUGUAUAUAUUGUAUUGUUAAUCUGUAUUCUUUUAGAGAACAACUUGAUCCAUUAGAGUUGCGCAAUUUCUUAUGUCUUUCUCUUCUAUUUUCAUUUCACUCAUUUUCAAAGUUACUUAGCUCACUAACUUUUUCUCUUUUACAAUAUAGAUUUUUUUUUGUCACAUUAUGUAUUCCCUCCACUGACUGAUUCCCUGGAUGGUUUUUCUUCAUUUUCAUACAUUAAGAUCCACUCUUUAUGGUGUAAAGUGUAUGGAUCUCGAUAAAUACUUAGCAUGUACCCACCAUUAACAAACCACGCACUGUAGUUUCUCUGCCUUAAAAAUUCCUAGUGUUUUCCCUCUUCGACCUUCUUUCUCCUCAUACCUGUGGCAACCAGUAAGCAUUUACAGUCUCUAUCAUUUUACCGCUACACAAGUAUGCAGUAUUACAUCACACAGUAUGCAGCCUCUUUAGACUGGCUUCUUUAAUUUAGUGCUAAUAAAUGAGCCAAAGAGGACCUCUGUGAAUUGGCUCCUAGGUUAUUCACUGCUCGGUGAGAUCCUUUUCAAAACCCAUGGCUACCAAACUCAAACUUUGACACAUUCAGUGUUUUUAAAAGAACGUAUCUAAGCAGAUUUUUAGCUUUAUACAGCCUGCCUGCAUUUUAUACCCCAUGAAAUCUCACCCAACAUCUGUUACCUAUCAAUAACAUAAUACUUGUAGUCAUAAAGCCCCAACCUGCUGGUGUUCUUUGGAAAUUCUCAGCCAUACUGUGGUGUGACCUCACUUGGACACAUUAGGCCCUCUCUGGCCCCCCUCUUCCCUGGGAUUUUCUUUGCUCCUCUGCCUCUGUGAAGACUGGCCCCUUCACCAUGAGUUUCUGGAAAGUAUCAUAGUAUGAGCGAUUUCAUCUCUCAUGAAGUACCACCACCACCUGAUAAAGUUUAUUGUGUGCCACUGCCUGUUAGAAUUUUGUAUUUUUCCUCGAUCAAAAAUCUCAUGAGCCCCAUACACUGAGCAAUAAAUAUUUACAAUUCAUCCAUGUCUUUUUGUGGCUUGAUAUCUAAUUUCCUUAUAAUGCGCUUUUAUUCUUAGUGUUGUUCUAAGGCUUGUGUACACUUUAACUUAUCAAAUAUGAAUAUCAAAAUUCAUAUUUAUAUGAAGUUAUGUUCAAUGAUAUUCAGGUGUGUUAUUCCUAUAUUGCUCAAUUUCCCUU
ensembl:lncRNA